AGCACCUCCUGUUAUAUAUAAUGACUUGUGAAGUUCAUCUCCUGAAUUAUGGAACGUCAUUGACAUUUUUUAUUCAACGAAGAGUUAACCACUCUUAAUAAUGGGUUUUAUAGCGAAAUAGACUUUUUUAUCGCGUGUU
rnacentral:ncRNA from 1 species